rnacentral:rRNA from 1 species
CCUACGGGAGGCAGCAGUAAGGAAUAUUGGUCAAUGGAGGCAACUCUGAACCAGCCAUGCCGCGUGCAGGAUGAAGGCCCUAUGGGUCGUAAACUGCUUUUAUACCGGAGAAAACCACCGUACGUGUACGGUGUUGAUAGUAUGGUAAGAAUAAGCAUCGGCUAACUUCGUGCCAGCAGCCGCGGUAAGACGAAGGAUGCAAGCGUUAUCCGGAUUCAUUGGGUUUAAAGGGUGCGUAGGCGGACCUGUAAGUCAGUGGUGAAAUCUCUUUGCUUAACAAAGAAACUGCCAUUGAUACUGCAAGUCUAGAGUAUAGAUGACGUUGGCGGAAUAUGACAUGUAGUGGUGAAAUACUUAGAUAUGUCAUAGAACACCGAUUGCGAAGGCAGCUAACGAAACUAUAACUGACGCUGAGGCACGAAAGUGCGGGGAUCAAACAGGAUUAGAUACCCUGGUAGUCCGCACCGUAAACGAUGAUUACUCGUUGUUGGCAAUAUGACCGUCAGCGACCAAGCGAAAGCGAUAAGUAAUCCACCUGGGGAGUACGCCGGCAACGGUGAAACUUAAAGGAAUUGACCGGNNGAGAGNGCGAGCGACGACGAGGGAGAGG